UACGUAGGGAGCAAGCGUUGUCCGGAUUUAUUGGGCGUAAAGAGCUCGUAGGCGGCUUAGCAAGUCGGGUGUGAAACCUCCAGGCUCAACCUGGAGACGCCACUCGAUACUUCUAUGGCUUGAGUUCGGUAGGGGUAAGCGGAAUUCCUGGUGUAGCGGUGAAAUGCGCAGAUAUCAGGAGGAACACCGACGGCGAAGGCAGCUUACUGGGCCGAUACUGACGCUGAGGAGCGAAAGCGUGGGGAGCGAACAGG
rnacentral:rRNA from 1 species